UAUGCAAAGACGUAGGAUGGGAGCUUCAA
rnacentral:piRNA from 1 species